rnacentral:piRNA from 1 species
UUCUGGAUUUGUUGGUUUUUU